rnacentral:rRNA from 1 species
UGGGGAAUAUUGCACAAUGGGCGCAAGCCUGAUGCAGCCAUGCCGCGUGUAUGAAGAAGGCCUUCGGGUUGUAAAGUACUUUCAGCGGGGAGGAAGGGAGUAAAGUUAAUACCUUUGCUCAUUGACGUUACCCGCAGCAGAAGCACCGGCUAACUCCGUGCCAGCAGCCGCGGUAAUACGGAGGGUGCAAGCGUUAAUCGGAAUUACUGGGCGUAAAGCGCACGCAGGCGGUUUGUUAAGUCAGAUGUGAAAUCCCCGGGCUCAACCUGGGAACUGCAUCUGAUACUGGCAAGCUUGAGUCUAGUAGAGGGGGGUAGAAUUCCAGGUGUAGCGGUGAAAUGCGUAGAGAUCUGGAGGAAUACCGGUGGCGAAGGCGGCCCCCUGGACGAAGACUGACGCUCAGGUGCGAAAGCGUGGGGAGCAAACAGG